GUUUGCAGCCAUACCACCCAGAACGCACCUGAUUUCAUUGAUCUCAGAAGCUGAGUAGGGUCCAGCCUGGUUAGUAUGGAUGAGAGAUCAAUAGAUACAGACCAAAAGUCCCUACCU
ensembl:rRNA 5S_rRNA 5S ribosomal RNA